UCAAUAAGCUUUCUCUCUCCUUCCUUCACCAGAGCUGGACUCAAGGUUUUGCAUGUGACUUAUAUCUGAAAGAGUGUGAACAGAAGAAGCAUCGUGCUCUUGAGAAGUACAGGAGGGAACAAAAAAACAAUGCAGCAAAGAGGCAAGAGAUAGUUCAGCUGAAAAAGAAGAUUCAAAAACUCAAAUUUAGGCAAGAAGAACUACAGAAAAAGAUUGGGAAGUACAAAAGGUUUGAAGAGUUCUUGCAAAAAAUAUUUGAUGCAUUGCCCUCCACUGAAUAUGGCUAUCUGGCAUAUGGAGAAGACUCUCUGAUUAAAACCCUUAUAAAAAGGCACAGGACUCUGGUGACGGAAAAGGAACGUUUGCUAAGGAAAUUGUCUGUUCAGCAAUAUAGCCUUCAGGAAACCCUACAUGAAUUUCGGGUCUUACAAGAAGAAUACAACACUGCCCAAUACAUGGUGAUGGCUAAAGUUUCUGAACUUCAGUCAAAGUACAAUGAAUUGCAAACAAAAAACACAGACUUGAUGCAGUUUAUUAACACUAAAGAAGAUCUCCUCACCAAGCGGUGCCAAGAACUAAGCCGUAUGCUGUUGGCAGUCUCCGGUUUGGCAGAGCAGUGCUAUAUGAGGCAUUAUGGUGCUUUGCAGGAAAUGACACUGUGGUCCAAGCUGAGCAUGAUCCAGGAGUUCAUUCUGGAAAAAAUGCAGAUCAAAGAGGAAACAAUGUCAUUAAUCAAGGCUGGAAAGUCAUCCAUUACUCUUCUUAAAGAACAACUUCCAAAGCAAAAAUAUAGUGGUAGAGUAUUGCUACAUGCAGACAGGUCUCCGGAAGAAGAGAUGGUAUAAGAGCCACCUGGGAAAGUAGCAAACAUUUCUGAGAGACAACACUGUGGACAAGUGGAAUGUUAUUACUCCAAUGUUUGUAGAACAGCACAGAUGGAAGUGAAUACAUUGCCAAAAAAGCUUUUAGGGGCAGAGAAGAAAAACCUUUCAUGCUGGAUUUUUGCAAAUAUGUUUGGGUUUUGCUGUUUUCAUGCUAUUUUCAUGCUCUUUCCCUUGUUUUCUGUGUCUGGGAAACACUACAAUACAAUACUAUUUCGUUAGUAUGUAUGUUUCCCAUUAUGGGAUAUUCUAGUAUAUAGGCUGUUUUGUGUAUAAAAUGGGGCAAAUGACUAUGAGUUUCCACAUGCUGUCUAUAAGGUAUACAGUGGUGCCUCGCUUAACAACCUUAAUUCGUUCCAACGAAAUUGCUGUAGAGCUAAAACGUCGUAAAGCGAAAAUAAAACCCGGCUAAUGCAUUCUAGAAGGCUUAAA
rnacentral:lncRNA from 1 species